rnacentral:rRNA from 1 species
UGAGUAACACGUGGGUAACCUGCCCGUAAGACUGGGAUAACUCCGGGAAACCGGAGCUAAUACCGGAUAGUUCCUUGAACCGCAUGGUUCAAGGAUGAAAGACGGUUUCGGCUGUCACUUACAGAUGGACCCGCGGCGCAUUAGCUAGUUGGUGGGGUAAUGGCUCACCAAGGCGACGAUGCGUAGCCGACCUGAGAGGGUGAUCGGCCACACUGGGACUGAGACACGGCCCAGACUCCUACGGGAGGCAGCAGUAGGGAAUCUUCCGCAAUGGACGAAAGUCUGACGGAGCAACGCCGCGUGAGUGAUGAAGGUUUUCGGAUCGUAAAGCUCUGUUGUUAGGGAAGAACAAGUGCGAGAGUAACUGCUCGCACCUUGACGGUACCUAACCAGAAAGCCACGGCUAACUACGUGCCAGCAGCCGCGGUAAUACGUAGGUGGCAAGCGUUGUCCGGAAUUAUUGGGCGUAAAGGGCUCGCAGGCGGUUUCUUAAGUCUGAUGUGAAAGCCCCCGGCUCAACCGGGGAGGGUCAUUGGAAACUGGGAAACUUGAGUGCAGAAGAGGAGAGUGGAAUUCCACGUGUAGCGGUGAAAUGCGUAGAGAUGUGGAGGAACACCAGUGGCGAAGGCGACUCUCUGGUCUGUAACUGACGCUGAGGAGCGAAAGCGUGGGGAGCGAACAGGAUUAGAUACCCUGGUAGUCCACGCCGUAAACGAUGAGUGCUAAGUGUUAGGGGGUUUCCGCCCCUUAGUGCUGCAGCUAACGCAUUAAGCACUCCGCCUGGGGAGUACGGUCGCAAGACUGAAACUCAAAGGAAUUGACGGGGGCCCGCACAACCGGUGGAGCAUGUGGUUUAAUUCGAAGCAACGCGAAGAACCUUACCAGGUCUUGACAUCCUCUGACAACCCUAGAGAUAGGGCUUUCCCUUCGGGGACAGAGUGACAGGUGGUGCAUGGUUGUCGUCAGCUCGUGUCGUGAGAUGUUGGGUUAAGUCCCGCAACGAGCGCAACCCUUGAUCUUAGUUGCCAGCAUUCAGUUGGGCACUCUAAGGUGACUGCCGGUGACAAACCGGAGGAAGGUGGGGAUGACGUCAAAUCAUCAUGCCCCUUAUGACCUGGGCUACACACGUGCUACAAUGGACAGAACAAAGGGCUGCAAGACCGCAAGGUUUAGCCAAUCCCAUAAAUCUGUUCUCAGUUCGGAUCGCAGUCUGCAACUCGACUGCGUGAAGCUGGAAUCGCUAGUAAUCGCGGAUCAGCAUGCCGCGGUGAAUACGUU